UGGAGAUAAUACCUGAUAGAGGAUAAAUACUGGAAGGUUUUAUUCUUCAAAGCUUCGGCACCUGAGGAUGGGACUGCGUCGGAUUAGCUUGUUGUCGGGAUAAUUACCCGACAAGGCGAUAAUCCGUACGGGUUGUGAGAGCAAUAGCCCGGAGAUGGAUUCUGAGACAUGAAUCCAGGUCCUACGGGACGCAGCAGGCGCGAAACCUUCACAAUGCCUGAAAGGGUGAUGAGGGAACUCUGAGUGACUUCGCAAUGCGAAGUCUUUUGCCAAGUGCAAAAAGCUCGGUGAAUAAGUGGUGGGCAAGACAGUUGCCAGCCGCCGCGGUAAUAACUGCGCCACGAGUGGUGAUCUCGUUUAUUGGGCUUAAAGCGUUCGUAGCCGGUUUUAUAAGCAUCUGGUGAAAUCCGAUAGUAAACUAUUGGGCUGGCUAGGUGUACUGUAAGACUAGGGACCGGUAGGGGCCGGGAGUACUCCUAGGGUAGGGGUUAAAUCCUUUAAUCCUAGGGGGACUACCAGUGGCGAAGGCGCCCGGCUAGAACGGGUCCGACGGUGAGGGACGAAAGCUGGGGGAGCGAUCCGGAUUAGAUACCCGGGUAGUCCCAGCUGUAAACGAUGCCCGCUUGGUGUGGUGAAACUUUCGUGGUUUUGCCGUACCGUAGCGAAA
rnacentral:rRNA from 1 species